GUAGUACUUUUUCCGUCCAACAAAGAAUGUCUUGACUUUUACUAAGUUUAAUGUAUAUAUACACUAAGUUAUAUGUCUAGAUACAUCCAAAUUUUGAUAAACUAGAGACAUUUUUUGUUGGACGGAGGGAGUAAAAA
rfam:Brachypodium distachyon strain Bd21 chromosome 4, whole genome shotgun sequence.